rnacentral:rRNA from 1 species
GAUGAACGCUGGCGGCGUGCCUAAUACAUGCAGGUCGAGCGAACGGACGAGAAGCUUGCUUUUCUGAUGUUAGCGGCGGACGGGUGAGUAACACGUGGAUAACCUACCUAUAAGACUGGGAUAACUUCGGGAAACCGGAGCUAAUACCGGAUAAUAUUUUGAACCGCAUGGUUCAAAAGUGAAAGACGGUCUUGCUGUCACUUAUAGAUGGAUCCGCGCUGCAUUAGCUAGUUGGUAAGGUAACGGCUUACCAAGGCAACGAUGCAUAGCCGACCUGAGAGGGUGAUCGGCCACACUGGAACUGAGACACGGUUCAGACUCCUACGGGAGGCAGCAGUAGGGAAUCUUCCGCAAUGGGCGAAAGCCUGACGGAGCAACGCCGCGUGAGUGAUGAAGGUCUUCGGAUCGUAAAACUCUGUUAUUAGGGAAGAACAUAUGUGUAAGUAACUGUGCACAUCUUGACGGUACCUAAUCAGAAAGCCACGGCUAACUACGUG